UGACCUCGGAUCAGGAGGAUACCCGCUGAAUUAAGCUAUAU
rnacentral:rRNA from 1 species